rnacentral:rRNA from 1 species
AACGAACGCUGGCGGCAUGCCUAACACAUGCAAGUCGAACGAGAUCUUCGGGUCUAGUGGCGCACGGGUGCGUAACGCGUGGGAAUCUGCCCUUUGGUUCGGAAUAACAGUUGGAAACGACUGCUAAUACCGGAUGAUGACGAAAGUCCAAAGAUUUAUCGCCAGAGGAUGAGCCCGCGUAGGAUUAGCUAGUUGGUGUGGUAAAGGCGCACCAAGGCGACGAUCCUUAGCUGGUCUGAGAGGAUGAUCAGCCACACUGGGACUGAGACACGGCCCAGACUCCUACGGGAGGCAGCAGUGGGGAAUAUUGGACAAUGGGCGAAAGUCUGAUCCAGCAAUGCCGCGUGAGUGAUGAAGGCCUAGGGUUGUAAAGCUCUUUUACCCGGGAUGAUAAUGACAGUACCGGGAGAAUAAGCUCCGGCUAACUCCGUGCCAGCCGCCGCGGUAA